UGCCUUUUUAUCAAAAAAUCAGUUGCCUGUGGCUGUUUUUGUUUCGUAGUCUGAGGUUUCACAGGUUGACAUCCAAAAAAUGCAGCCCUUGCAAGGUCGAGUGCUUGAAGCUAGAUUUUGAACUCGGAGGAGAGAGUGCGACUAAGAUAAAGGGGAAGACAAAUGGGAUAAUAAACAGCCCCGGCAAGGUUGACUCAAACUCACGGUUAGUUGUUCUCUAUAGUUUCAAUUUCUACAUGUUGGGAUUUUCUGUGUUCUGUAGGCUGGUUUAAGUGA